rnacentral:rRNA from 1 species
UACAGAGGGGGCAAGCGUUGUUCGGAAUUACUGGGCGUAAAGGGCGCGUAGGCGGCCUGUUAAGUCGAACGUGAAAUCCCCGGGCUCAACCCGGGAACUGCGUCCGAUACUGGCAGGCUUGAAUCCGGGAGAGGGAUGUGGAAUUCCAGGUGUAGCGGUGAAAUGCGUAGAUAUCUGGAGGAACACCGGUGGCGAAGGCGGCAUCCUGGACCGGGAUUGACACUGAGGCGCGAAAGCCAGGGGAGCAAACGGG